GAUGAAGAACGCAGCGAAAUGCGAUACGUAAUGUGAAUUGCAGAUCUCUCAGUGAACCAUCGAAUUUUUGAACGCACAUAGCGCCCGCCGGUCAUUCCGGCGGGCAUGCCUGUCCGAGCGUCAUUGCUGCCCAUCAAGCGCGGCUUGUGUGUUGGGCCGCCGUCCGCCUUCCCCCCCGGGGGGAGGGGGACGGGCCCGAAAGGCAGCGGCGGCACCGCGUCCGGUCCUCGAGCGUAUGGGGCUCAGUCACCCGCUCUGGAGGCCCGGCCGGCGCCCGCCGACCCCCAACCUUAUUCUAACCAGGUUGACCUCGGAUCAGGUAGGGAUACCCGCUGAACUUAAGCAUAUCAAUAAGCGGAGGA
rnacentral:misc_RNA from 1 species